UUGAGGGCUGUCGUGGAACUGACU
rnacentral:piRNA from 1 species